rnacentral:rRNA from 1 species
AUUGAACGCUGGCGGCAGGCCUAACACAUGCAAGUCGAGCGGCAGCGGGACCUUCGGGUUGCCGGCGAGCGGCGGACGGGUGAGUAAUGCCUAGGAAUCUGCCUGUUAGUGGGGGAUAACGCGGGGAAACUCGCGCUAAUACCGCAUACGUCCUACGGGAGAAAGCGGGGGCUCUUCGGACCUCGCGCUAACAGAUGAGCCUAGGUCGGAUUAGCUAGUUGGUGGGGUAAUGGCCCACCAAGGCGACGAUCCGUAACUGGUCUGAGAGGAUGAUCAGUCACACUGGAACUGAGACACGGUCCAGACUCCGACGGGAGGCAGCAGUGGGGAAUAUUGGACAAUGGGCGAAAGCCUGAUCCAGCCAUGCCGCGUGUGUGAAGAAGGUCUUCGGAUUGUAAAGCACUUUAAGUCGGGAGGAAGGACUGUAGGCUAAUACCUUGCAGUUUUGACGUUACCGACAGAAUAAGCACCGGCUAACUUCGUGCCAGCCGCCGCGGUAAAAC